GUCAGUCCCCCAGGAAAUAUCAUUUUGAUGUUUCUGUUGAAAGCUGCAUAUCCUUCAAGGUAAUUUUUACGAGUUGAACUCGCAGUUUGGAGAUGAACAAAACAUAUGUGACGAUGGAACAUCAGGACUAAUUAAACAAGAAAGCCAAAAGAAAUCCGGAAGCAAAAGGCACCCCAACGAGGUUACCCGGAAAGUUGAAGAAGACAAGACAAUGGAUGUUUUUCACAUGGACUUGGGCAAAGGCUUGGACAGGAGGCUGGUCCAGAAGGGUCGGUUGCUUGGCAUUCAGGAUGAAGUAGCAAAUGGAAUUCACCAUUGGUUUAAUGGGAGAAGCCAGAGAGUGGUAGUGGAUGGUUGUCUCUCUGACCUGAGGCCUGUGACUGUUAGAGUCCGGCAGGGAUCACUGCUGGGUCUGCUGUUGCUUGUCAUCUACAUUAAAGAUAUGGAUGUUAAUGUGGUAAUCUGGAUUAGCAAAUUUGCAGAUGACACGAAGAUUUGGGACAUAAUGAACAGCGAGGAAGACUAUAAAUGUUUGCAAUGUGACCUGGGUCAGAUGGAAAAUAGGCUGAAAGAAAGGAGAUGGAAUUAAUGCAGGAAGAGAAACAGUGGUGGAACUUGCACAGUUAAUGGUAGAACACCAAGGGGUGUGGUAAAACAGAGGGAUCUGAGAAUGCAGAUAGAUAAUUCUUUGAAAAAGGCAUCAUAGGUUGAUAAGGCCAUCAAGAGAGCUUUUGGAUUAUUAGUUGU